UACGGAGGGUGCAAGCGUUGUCCGGAAUCACUGGGCGUAAAGGGCGCGUAGGCGGCUCGGUAAGUAGGGGGUGAAAUCCUGCGGCUUAACCGCAGGGCUGCCUUCUAAACUGUCGAGCUCGAGCACGGUAGAGGCAGAUGGAAUUCCCGGUGUAGUGGUGGAAUGCGUAGAGAUCGGGAAGAACAUCAGUGGCGAAGGCGGUCUGCUGGGCCGUUGCUGACGCUGAGGCGCGACAGCGUGGGGAGCAAACAGG
rnacentral:rRNA from 1 species